GAUGAACGCUGGCGGCGUGCCUAAUACAUGCAAGUCGAACGCAUUGUGGUUGAAAUGAUAUGAAGAACUUGUUCAGAUUUGAUUUUCAACAUUGCAAUGGGUGGCGAACGGGUGAGUAACACGUGGGAAACCUACCUCUUAGCAGGGGAUAACAUUUGGAAACAAAUGCUAAUACCGUAUAAUAAUUAAAACCGCAUGGUUUUAGUUUAAAAGAUGGUCUUGCUAUCACUAAGAGAUGGUCCCGCGGUGUAUUAGUUAGUUGGUGAGGUAAUGGCUCACCAAGACAAUGAUACAUAGCCGAGUUGAGAGACUGACCGGCCACAAUGGGACUGAGACACGGCCCAUACUCCUACGGGAGGCAGCAGUAGGGAAUCUUCCACAAUGGACGAAAGUCUGAUGGAGCAACGCCGCGUGUGUGAUGAAGGGUUUACGGCUCGUAAAACACUGUUGUAAAGAGAAGAAUGACAUUGAGAGUAACUGUUCAAUGUGUGACGGUAUCUUACCAAG
rnacentral:rRNA from 1 species